rfam:Chromobacterium amazonense strain DSM 26508 Camzn_DSM26508.13, whole genome shotgun sequence.
GGUCAAGCGACUAAGUGCAUCUGGUGGAUGCCUUGGCGAUCACAGGCGAUGAAGGACGUGUAAGCCUGCGAAAAGCGCGGGGGAGCUGGCAAUAGAGCUUUGAUCCCGCGAUAUCCGAAUGGGGAAACCCGGCCCUUAGGGGUCAUCCCAGACUGAAUACAUAGGUCUGAGGAGGCGAACUCAGCGAACUGAAACAUCUAAGUAGCUGAAGGAAAAGAAAUCAACCGAGAUUCCGUAAGUAGUGGCGAGCGAACGCGGAACAGCCUGUAUGUGAUAGAGAUUGCGUUAGUGGAAGGUUAUGGAAAGGACCGCCAUAGUGGGUGAUAGCCCCGUACACGAAAACGCAUUCUUGGUACUAAGCAUACGAGAAGUAGGGCGGGACACGCGAAAUCCUGUCUGAAGAUGGGGGGACCAUCCUCCAAGGCUAAAUACUCGUGAUCGACCGAUAGUGAACCAGUACCGUGAGGGAAAGGCGAAAAGAACCCCGGGAGGGGAGUGAAAUAGAACCUGAAACCGGAUGCAUACAAACAGUGGGAGCGGACGUGUUCCGUGACUGCGUACCUUUUGUAUAAUGGGUCAGCGACUUACGUUCAGUAGCGAGCUUAACCGAAUAGGGGAGGCGUAGGGAAACCGAGUCCGAAUAGGGCGCUUUAGUUGCUGGGCGUAGACCCGAAACCGAGUGAUCUAUCCAUGGCCAGGAUGAAGGUGCGGUAACACGCACUGGAGGUCCGAACCCACUAGUGUUGCAAAACUAGGGGAUGAGCUGUGGAUAGGGGUGAAAGGCUAAACAAACUCGGAGAUAGCUGGUUCUCCCCGAAAACUAUUUAGGUAGUGCCUCAUGUAUCACUUCCGGGGGUAAAGCACUGUUAUGGCUAGGGGGUCAUUGCGAUUUACCAAACCAUGGCAAACUCUGAAUACCGGAAAGUGCGAGCAUGGGAGACAGACGGUGGGUGCUAACGUCCAUCGUCAAGAGGGAAACAACCCAGACCGCCAGCUAAGGUCCCAAAUGAUCAGUUAAGUGGUAAACGAAGUGGGAAGGCCUAGACAGCCAGGAUGUUGGCUUAGAAGCAGCCAUCAUUUAAAGAAAGCGUAAUAGCUCACUGGUCGAGUCGUCCUGCGCGGAAGAUGUAACGGGGCUCAAACUGAUAACCGAAGCUGCGGAUGCGUCGGCUUCACCUUAGCUUGUUGCAAGCUUGUCAUCGCGAAGCGAUGACAAAGCCCACC